rnacentral:antisense_RNA from 1 species
CAUCGUCAACAGAUGAUACUCUCUCCGUUACAUCUUGAGAAGUCAGA